GAUGAACGCUAGCGGCAGGCUUAAUACAUGCAAGUCGUGGGGCAGCAGGACUGUAGCACUCCAGUUGCUGGCGACCGGCACACGGGUGCGGAACACGUACGCAACUUACCCUGAACUGGGGGAUAGCCCGGGGAAACCCGGCGUAAUACCCCGUAAUAUACUGGAGUGGCAUCACUUUAUUCUUAAAGCUCCGGCGGAUCGGGAUGGGCGUGCGGCUGUUUAGGUAGUUGGUUGAGGUAACGGCACAACAAGCCUACGAUCAGUGACUGGUGUGAGAGCACGACCAGUCACACGGGAACUGAGGCACGGGCCCGACUGCUACGGGAGGGAGCAGUAAGGAAUAUUGGGCAAUGGAGGCAACUCUGACCCAGCCAUGCCGCGUGGAGGAGGAAUGCCCUCUGGGUUGUAAACUUCUUUUAUAGGGGACGAAACCUGUGUAUUCUUACGCAGUUGACGGUACCCUAGGAAUAAGCACCGGCUAACUCCGUG
rnacentral:rRNA from 1 species